rfam:Gossypium arboreum cultivar AKA8401 contig_3968_5, whole genome shotgun sequence.
UAUUAAAGAUUUCAUCAAUUUUUACAGUUAAAAAUUAGUAUGGCUGACGAAAUAACUUGACAAUUACAAGUGUUGUGCUAUGUAUAUCUUAUUCUAACGUAUAGGGACCAGUUUUGAAUAGUAGAAAUGGAUGAAAUUUUUAACA